rnacentral:tRNA from 1 species
CAGAGGAUAGUUUUAAUUAGAAUCUUAGCUUUGGGAGUUAAGGGCGGGAGUUAAAAUCUCCCUUCUCUGA